rnacentral:rRNA from 1 species
UAGUGGCGCACGGGUGCGUAACGCGUGGGAAUCUGCCUUUGGGUUCGGAAUAACAGUGAGAAAUUACUGCUAAUACCGGAUGAUGUCUUCGGACCAAAGAUUUAUCGCCCAAAGAUGAGCCCGCGUAAGAUUAGCUAGUUGGUGAGGUAAAGGCUCACCAAGGCGACGAUCUUUAGCUGGUCUGAGAGGAUGAUCAGCCACACUGGGACUGAGACACGGCCCAGACUCC